rnacentral:rRNA from 1 species
UACGAAGGGGGCUAGCGUUGUUCGGAAUUACUGGGCGUAAAGGGCUCGUAGGUGGCCAACUAAGUCAGACGUGAAAUCCCUCGGCUUAACCGGGGAACUGCGUCUGAUACUGGAUGGCUUGAGUUUGGGAGAGGGACGCGGAAUUCCAGGUGUAGCGGUGAAAUGCGUAGAUAUUCGCAAGAACACCAGUGGCGAAGGCGGCUCACUGGCCCGAUACUGACGCUGAGGCACGAAAGCGUGGGGAGCAAACAGG